UACGUAGGGGGCAAGCGUUGUCCGGAAUUAUUGGGCGUAAAGAGCGCGUAGGCGGUCCGAUAAGUCGGCUGUGAAAGUCAGGGGCUCAACCCUUGAAAGCCGGCCGAUACUGUCGGACUAGAGUCCGGAAGAGGCAAGUGGAAUUCCCGGUGUAGCGGUGAAAUGCGCAGAUAUCAGGAGGAACACCGAUGGCGAAGGCAGGUCUCUGGGCCACUACUGACGCUGAGGUGCGAAAGCGUGGGGAGCAAACAGG
rnacentral:rRNA from 1 species